rnacentral:rRNA from 1 species
AUUGAACGCUGGCGGCAGGCCUAACACAUGCAAGUCGAACGGUAAUAGGAAGCAGCUUGCUGCUUCGCUGACGAGUGGCGGACGGGUGAGUAAUGUCUUGGAAACUGCCUGAUGGAGGGGGAUAACUACUGGAAACGGUAGCUAAUACCGCCUAACGUCGCAAGACCAAAGAGGGGGACCUUAGGGCCUCUUGCCAUCGGAUGUGCCCAGAUGGGAUUAGCUAGUAGGUGGGGUAACGUCUCACCUAGGCGACGAUCCCUAGCUGGUCUGAGAGGAUGACCAGCCACACGGGAACUGAGACACGGUCCAGACUCCUACGGGAGGCAGCAGUGGGGAAUAUUGCACAAUGGGCGCAAGCCUGAUGCAGCCAUGCCGCGUGUAUGAAGAAGGCCUUCGGGUUGUAAAGUACUUUCAGCGGGGAGGAAGGGAGUAAAGUUAAUACCUUUGCUCAUUGACGUUACCCGCAGAAGAAGCACCGGCUAACUCCGUG